rnacentral:rRNA from 1 species
AUUGAACGCUGGCGGAAUGCUUUACACAUGCAAGUCGAACGGCAGCACGGGGGCAACCCUGGUGGCGAGUGGCGAACGGGUGAGUAAUAUAUCGGAACGUGCCCAGUCGUGGGGGAUAACGUAGCGAAAGUUACGCUAAUACCGCAUACGAUCUACGGAUGAAAGCGGGGGAUCGCAAGACCUCGCGCGAUUGGAGCGGCCGAUAUCAGAUUAGGUAGUUGGUGGGGUAAAGGCUCACCAAGCCAACGAUCUGUAGCUGGUCUGAGAGGACGACCAGCCACACUGGGACUGAGACACGGCCCAGACUCCUACGGGAGGCAGCAGUGGGGAAUUUUGGACAAUGGGCGCAAGCCUGAUCCAGCCAUUCCGCGUGC